UACGGAGGGUGCAAGCGUUAUUCGGAUUCACUGGGCGUAAAGGGUGCGCAGGCGCCAAGUGUGUUAGGCGUGAAAGCCUGAGGCUUAACCUCAGAAUUGCACCUAAAACUACAUGGCUAGAGCAUUGGAGAGGGUAGCGGAAUUCACGGUGUAGCAGUGAAAAUGCAUAGAUACCAUCAAGAACACCGAUUGCGAAAGGCAGCUUACUAGGCUGUAAACUGACGCUUGAGGCACGAAAAGCGUGGGGG
rnacentral:rRNA from 1 species